rnacentral:pre_miRNA from 1 species
GUUCCCUGCCCACAAGGAGCUUACAGUCUAGAUGAACUGUCCCCACAGCAGUUAUGUACCUAUCUAUAAUUUAUUUAUAUUAAUGUCUGUCUCCCCCUCUAGACUGUAAGCUCGUCGUGGGCAGGGAAU